CUACAUGUUGAAUGUUAAGAUUAUAUGUAUGUUUAAUUUAUGCCUUGUUUGUUAAAUGUACACUGGUAAAGUUUAAUUAUCUCCCUCCAACAUUUAUUGCUUGCGUGUGUUUUGUCCUGCAAAUUGAACUGAAGUUUAAGUUGUUUUAUGUUUGUACAUACUGUGUAUGUUGGAAAAAGCCCCCCAAUAUGAGACCCCAUAGAGUCCAUUCAAAUGUUACAGAAGUUAAAAAAUUAUCUGAGAUUAAAAACAGUAUAUUUUAAUCAGUAAUAAAUUGGUCUAAGUGAUAAGAGUUUUGAGUCUUUUAAGCUAGUGAUUAUGGAUUUGAUUCGUAACGCUUGCAUACCGAAAAAAUUUGGUUGAAGGAGAAAACUCAUUAUUACACCAAGAGGCUUAAAGAGAUAAAGGGAAAGAAUUGAAGAAAAUAGAAGUUAGUUAGAUGUUUGUUUUCAACUGUUUCUUAGAUUGCAAGUUACUAUCCUACAUGCUUAUGUAAUUGAUAGUGUAGGAUAGAACUCACCUCUCCUAUAUAAAGAGGUUUGGUACU
rnacentral:lncRNA from 1 species